GAUCAAGUCUCCCAGCUCUGCCAUGUGCCUUCGCAGCAUGACCCACACAGGGAGGUGACUCAGACACUUGCUGCCCUCAGAGGACUGCUUUGAGGAACCAGGAGGCCCUGCCCGCUGCUGCCCAAGCCGAUUCCCAACCAUCAUGACGGCCAUCCGACUACGAGAAUUCGUAGAGCGUCGGCCAGUGGUUCCACCUAGUAUAUUUAUCACUCACCAAGGAAAGGACAUCAAAGGCUAUUACCCUGGGCAACUGGCAAGACUCCAUUUUGAUAACAGCGUGAAGAGGGCUCCAAGACCCUUCAUAGACUUGGCAAUUCCACCCAAGAGCAAAACUCCGUAUCAGCCUCAAUUAGACCAGCAAACGCUCAUUCGAUACAUUUGUUUUGAAAGACUGUCAAGGCCUAUGAGCACAUGGUAUAAUGAAACAACUUACCAAAGACACUACUCCCUGCCAUUUUAUGAGAUUGGUUUGGAACAUAAAUUAGGCACGAUUUCAACAAACCCUAGACCACUGAAUUCACUACCAGAAGUCUACUGUUGUGUUCCAGAAAUCUACUCUUGUGUUCCAGAAGUCUACUCUUGUGUUCCAGAAGUCUACUGUUGUGACAAGAGAAGUGGUUUUGCAAGAAACACUUUGUAAAACUAAACAUAAGCGUGGUAUUCCAAGAAAACAACUUUGGACAGUUUUUAGGCCACAUAUGUAAUCAUACAGUAGCUGUGUAACCACAACCAGCAAAGGUAGAGCCUCUUGAGCCACAGAUGGUAGCACAGACCUGGGAAGUAGAGUCCUCAAAGAUCAACUGAAGGUACUACAUGUCCCCGUGCACGGCAUCCUCCCUCCACACUAGCAUUACUAUGAACAGAAGAAAAACAACACACAAAGAAUACUGGAAAUAUUUGGCUCUUUUUAAUCAACUAUUGAUGGUUAUAAUAAAAUAAUUUCAAGUGACACCUAAUUUAAAGUUAAUAGUUUAUGGAAGGAUAAUCUACAGCACAAAGUGAAGCCUAAGGGUUAAAUAAUACGUCUUUAUUUUCAAGGGAGGAGAGAUGAAGGCAUGAUCAAAAUUAUGGCUGACAAUUGGCAACUAGGGUUCAUGUGGGUACUUACGGGUCAUUUUAUAGAUAUACCGGCAGGCACAAUGUUGAAAACCAACCCACUGUUCUUAGAAAUAACAGUAUACUUAAAAAAUAAAAA